UACGGAGGGUGCGAGCGUUAAUCGGAAUUACUGGGCGUAAAGCGCACGCAGGCGGUUUGUUAAGCAAGAUGUGAAAGCCCCCGGGGCUCAACCUGGGGAACUGCAUUUUUGAACUGGCAGACUAGAUCUUGGGAGAGGGGGGGUGGAAUUCCAGGUGUAGCGGUGAAAUGCGUAGAGAUCUGGAGGAACAUCAGUGGGCCGAAGGACGGCCC
rnacentral:rRNA from 1 species